CCGACGGUGAGGAGAGAAGGAGGCGGAUGAAGUUGGAACGGGAAGUUGCCCCUUUUUGUCUGCCUGCGGAGCUGGGAACCUGGCCCGAAACGUCUACAGCAGAGAUGAUUGGCAAACAAGGAUCUGGAGAAGGAUGUGACAGUAUUCCACCUACACUAGAAGAAUACUGCCCUCAGUUUCUGAGCACUUCUUGGUGAUAGCUAUUUUAUCUUCUGGCAUGAGAUUUCCUUUUCCUUCACUGUUCGAUCUUCAUCAUGUGGGGAACAACCAGGGAAGAAAAAAUGAAGUGCGCCGCGCACAAUGUGGAGCAAUGCAUGUGGUUCACUGAUGGCUUUGAAAUCCAUGAAGACCCAUCUUUGUACUGCUGCCAUCAGCAAGCAUCUUCUCUUCUUCUGUCUUGUGUUGAGUUUCUAUCUGGGAUGAGGUGAAACUUCUGAUGAUCCUCAUUGGUGGUAUUGUCUCCAGAUCUCCAGCAAGAUGUUGUUCAGUACUACUGAAGAUUCAUCAUCACAAAUGUUCCAUCUUCAUUUCAUGUAAAGUAUUUUUUUUUUUUCUUUCUGAAGGAAAUUCUGACAUUGAUCAUUUCACAUUAGG